rnacentral:rRNA from 1 species
AUUGAACGCUGGCGGCAUGCCUUACACAUGCAAGUCGAACGCGAAAGGGGGGCAACCCCCGAGUAGAGUGGCGGACGGGUGAGUAAUACAUCGGAACGUACCCAGUAGUGGGGGACAACCUCGAGAAAUCGAGGCUAAUACCGCAUACGACCCACGGGUGAAAGCGGGGGACCGCAAGGCCUCGCGCUAUUGGAGCGGCCGAUGUCCGAUUAGCUAGUUGGUGGGGUAAGAGCCCACCAAGGCGACGAUCGGUAGCUGGUCUGAGAGGACGACCAGCCACACUGGGACUGAGACACGGCCCAGACUCCUACGGGAGGCAGCAGUGGGGAAUUUUGGACAAUGGGGGCAACCCUGAUCCAGCCAUGCCGCGUGCGGGAAGAAGGCCUUCGGGUUGUAAACCGCUUUCGGCCGGAACGAAAUCGCCGGGGAGAACAUCCCCGGUGGAUGACGGUACCGGAAGAAGAAGCACCGGCUAACUACGUGCCAGCAGCCGCCGCCGUAA